rnacentral:rRNA from 1 species
GCGAGUCUGCCUUGAAGAUCGAAGUGCUUGCACUCUGUGAAACAAGAUACAGGCUAGCGGCGGACGGGUGAGUAACACGUGGGUAACCUGCCAAGAGAUCGGGAUAACACCUGGAAACAGAUGCUAAUACCGGAUAACAACAGAUGAUGCCUAUCAACUGUUUAAAAGAUGGUUCUGCUAUCACUCUUGGGGAUGGGACCUGCGGUGCAUUAGCUAGUUGGUAGGGGUAACGGGCCUACCAAGGCGAUGAUGCAUAGCCGAGUUGAGAGACUGAUCGGCCACAUUGGGACUGAGACACGGCCCAAACUCCUACGGGAGGCAGCAGUAGGGAAUCUUCCACAAUGGACGCAAGUCUGAUGGAGCAACGCCGCGUGAGUGAAGAAGGUUUUCGGAUCGUAAAGCUCUGUUGUUGGUGAAGAAGGAUAGAGGUAGUAACUGGCCUUUAUUUGACGGUAAUCAACCAGAAAGUCACGGCUAACUACGUGCCAGCAGCCGCGGUAAAU